AUGCAAAAUUUACUUGUUUUAAGCAUUAUAAUAAAUUUAAAUUAUUAAAAUCAUUUUGUUUGUUUUUGUAUUUGUUAAUGAUUAAAUUUUUUUGGUGAUAUAUUAUUUGUACUGUGAAGGUUGAUUGAAAUAAUUAUUAGUUAUUAAUUAAGUUAAUUUUAUUUAUUGUACCUUGUGUAUCAGGGUUAAUUAAUUAUUUUUUAUAAAUUUUAAUUUUCUCGAUUUUAUAAGAGUUAAUUCAUUAUUUUAGUUAUUGUUUUAUAAAUAUUAAUAAUGGUGAAUUGGUAAUGAGAUGUUAAUCGUUUAUGACGGUAUCUAGUUUUUUGGGAAAUAAAUUUAAUUUACAUUUUUUCUUUAAUUUUUUUUCUUUAUAAUUUAAUUUAAGUUUAAAUGAUUAAUAAGGGGGAUAAGCUCUUUUUUAAAUUUCUAUGGAAUAUAUUUUUAUUGAAUUAUGUGGAUUUAAUAUUGAUUAUCAUUAUAAGUGUGUUGAAAUUUUAUUUUAUUUUUAAUUAAUUUAAAAUUUUCUAGGUUUGUACUAAAGAUUUUUAAUGAAUUUUUUUUAAUUUUAAUUAUGAUUAAAUUAGUAUAUAAUUAAUUAUUAAAUGUUUUUGUUUUUAAUGGAUUUGAGGAAUUAGGCAAAAGGUUAUUCGCCUGUUUAACAAAAACAUCUUCUCUUGUUUUAAAUAUGAGGUAUAACCUGCUCAAUGAAUUUUAAAUGGCCGCGGUAUACUGACCGUGCAAAGGUAGCAUAAUCAUUAGUCCUUUAAUUGUGGGCUGGAAUGAAUGGUUGGACGAGAUAACAACUUUCUUAAAUUUAUGAUUUUGAAUUUAAUUAUUGUGUUAAAAAGCAUCAAUUUUUUUUUGGGACGAGAAGACCCUAUAGAGUUUAAUAUCUAAUUUGUUUUUAAGUAUUUGUUGACUUUAAAAUUAAAUUAAUUAUUUUGUUGGGGUGAUGUGAGGAUAAAAUUAACUCUUUAUGAUAAUUGUUUAUUAAUUAAUAUUUUUUUGAUCCAUUUUUAGUGAUUGAAAGACUAAAUUACCUUAGGGAUAACAGCGUAAUCUUUUUUGAGAGUUCUUAUCAACAAAUAAGGAUUGCGACCUCGAUGUUGGAUUAAGAUUAUUCUUGGGUGCAAAAGCUUAAGGUUUAGGUCUGUUCGACCUUUAAAUUCUUACAUGAUCUGAGUUCAAACCGGCGUGAGCCAGGUUGGUUUCUAUCUAUUAAUAAAUUUAUUAUUUUAGUACGAAAGGACCAAAUAUUAGAAAUAAUUUUUUUUUGUUGAAUAAUAUUAAUAUUUAACUAUUUUGGCAGAUAAGUGCAAUGGAUUUAGAAUCUAUAAAUGUGAUUUUGAUUACAAAUAG
rnacentral:rRNA from 1 species